ensembl:snRNA U6 U6 spliceosomal RNA
GUGCUCGCUUCAGCAGCACUUAUAUUAAAAAUGGAACGAUACAGAGAAGAUUAGCAUGGCCCCUGAGCAAGGAUGACAUAUAAAUUCGUAAAGUGUUCCACAGUUUU